rnacentral:rRNA from 1 species
GCAAGUCGAGCGCUCACCUUCGGGUGGGAGCGGCGGACGGGUUAGUAACGCGUGGGAACAUACCCUUCACUAUGGAAUAGCCUCGGGAAACUGAGAGUAAUACCAUAUACGCCCUUCGGGGGAAAGAUUUAUCGGUGAAGGAUUGGCCCGCGUUAGAUUAGAUAGUUGGUGGGGUAAUGGCCUACCAAGGCAGCGAUGGUUAGCUGGUCUGAGAGGAUGAUC